AUAUGAUAUUGUGGGUUUUUUUUUUUUUAAUUCCCCAUAAUGCCUACAUAAUGUAUGUUUCAUAUAUAGUAAUGUACAUUUGCUGACUUGGAAAAAAACUAAUUCUCCCCAUUUUAUGGAAGAGUAAACUGACACCUCCGGAAGCUAAGUACUUUGCAUCUAAAUCACAAAGUGAGACCCUUAAAGGCAAAGGCAGUAUUUUAUUCUUUUGGCAACACUAGUGCCUGGAACACAGCAUAAGCACAAAACACAUUUCUGUGGGAUAAAGGAACCAAGUCCAGACUCUCUUCCCACACAGUGAGGAUAGACUCCUGCAACUGCUUCAGAAGGAAAGAAGAGGCAGAGAAGAAAAGCAUCACAUGGCCAGUUGGGAAGAGGGAUGUAUGACUCCUAAUCUGGCCUGGAGCGGGGCAGGCUACGGGAACAGCCCUGCCAGCACAGAGCACUGAUACCUGCUGUCCCUUGCUGCCUCAAACCCACUCCCCAUGACCUUCUGGGAGAUUCUUCCAUCACCUUCCCAGAGUCAGGGCCCUGGAGGAAUGAAGCAGCAGCAGCAUCUCCUGGGAAACUAAUGGGAUUUGCUAGGGAGUACUACAGAGUUCCACCCUGGAUUUAAGACCCUGAAUCCUGAGGAAGCUGGCUGGCUACAAGGCCCAUUUAUUUCAAUAUGAUCCCAAUUUUGUUAAAUGGACUCAAGGAGGGCAGAGAGGAAUGAGGCUUCAGCUCCCUGAGACUACAGAGGUUAAUAAAAGUUGCUGGAGAAAUUAAAUGUGGAGGGGGAGAAAUUGGGAGCUUGGAGAGAGUUGAUACAGGGUGGGGGAGAGCAGGAUAGAAAAAGAAAAAUGCGAUCUUCAGCAAAAAAGAAAGUCAGCUUUCAUCCCGGGAGCUCAAAGAACUCGGUCAGGUUGCACUGUCUGUGAAUCAGUGGGUGGGAAGGUGUAAGAGCUGGGGCUGCAGGAUAGAGAGAGACCAGAAUCACACAAUGGGGAACCUGAGGUUUCUAACUUUCUUAACCUUGUAGUGUGUGCAUCUUCAGAGCAAGACAAGACACAAGCUGGUGCCUUCAAAGACUCUUCAAAGGAUGGCUGCCAUGGCUGGCAAGGGAAUGGGACACAGAACACGGCUGUAUUCUCUGAAUUGAGGACAUGGCAGCCUCUUUCUUCUUUCCUGCUGACCACUGCCUGCUGCUCCCCUGCCCCCAAUCCCAGCCCUUUCCAGGUCAAAGCAUCUUCCAGGACAGGGCCAAGUAAAGUGGCCUGGAGGCCUUGAGAAGAAACCAGGCAGGAGCUGGUAGGUAGGGAGGGGACAUAGCCUUCCCAGUUCUGGAUGCAUGGACAGGAAUGUCCCUAUCCUUGUUUGGAAACCAUCCCCAAAAUUGGGAUGAUGGAGGCAUUUGCCCCCUAUCCCCUCCCUCCAGCCCAACCUCCUCUUAGCAAGUCAUUUCAACUCU
rnacentral:lncRNA from 1 species